GCGAAAGCAGACAUAUUUAUUACUGGGUGCGCAUAAAUUAAAUAACUAAAUAUAAUGAUAUAUAUAAGUUAAAAUAGGUAUAUCGAACUCAGGAUCUUCAAAAGUUACGGGUGCACCUUGACCGAUUAAGCCAUUUUCCCUUAUAUCUCUAACACCAUGAUUAACCCGGGAUUCUUAGAGUGGGGUUUUUAGCGAAAGUUAAGAAAUUGUU
rnacentral:lncRNA from 1 species